AACGCGAAGAACCUUACCAAGGUUUGACAUACAGGGAAAAGCCGUAGAGAUAUGGUGUCCGUAAGGGUCCUGUACAGGUGGUGCAUGGCUGUCGUCAGCUCGUGUCGUGAGAUGUUGGGUUAAGUCCCGCAACGAGCGCAACCCUCGUCCUAUGUUGCCAGCGGGUUAUGCCGGGGACUCAUAGGAGACUGCCGGGGUCAACUCGGAGGAAGGUGGGGAUGACGUCAAGUCCUCAUGCCCCUUAUGUCUUGGGCUGCAAACAUGCUACAAUGGCCAGUACAAAGGGUUGCGAGACCGCAAGGUGGAGCGAAUCCCAAAAAGCUGGUCUCAGUUCGGAUUGGGGUCUGCAACUCGACCCCAUGAAGUCGGAGUCGCUAGUAAUCGCAGAUCAGCAACGCUGCGGUGAAUACGUUCCCGGGCCUUGUA
rnacentral:rRNA from 1 species